UACAGAGGGUGCUAGCGUUGUUCGGAAUUACUGGGCGUAAAGCGCGCGCAGGCAGAUCCUGCAAGUCAGAAGUGAAAUUCCACCGCUCAACGGUGGAGCUGCUCCUGAUACUGCGGAUCUGGAGACCGGUAGAGGCUGGUAGAAUUGCAGGUGUAGCGGUGGAAUGCGUAGAUAUCUGCAGGAACACCCGUGGCGAAAGCGGCGCGCUGGACCACUACUGACGCUGAGGAACGAAAGCUAGGGGAGCAAACAGG
rnacentral:rRNA from 1 species